CUUAGCAAUUUCAUAUGGAAUCGUAUUUUUGAACUUUGAAGCACCUUGCCAAAUUUAUCAAAGGACGUUUUGUCGGUUUUAUAAGAAAAAUGCCCUGAAUUAUUUGAAAAUAUUAAAUUAGUAAAAGGACACACUUUUUUAAGGAGCAUUUUCAUAACAAGUUAAGGACGCCUAUUCGACUUCAAUAAAAUUGCAAAGUAACUUUGCAAUGUAACCCUGAUGAAGCCGCUUAGACGGCGAAACAAUUCUCGUAAAUUAUAAAAUCUGUGGAAAGAAGUAAGUGUUUACAUUUAUUUUUUUACCAAAUCAAUAUAAUUUUCCACCAAGUAAGGACUGAAUCAAUUAAAUAUUUUAAUUUUAUGUUAUGUUAUGCCGGUCCUGGCGGCGGCCUUGAUCUUUGGUGACAGCUAAAAUUGCAUACACGAAAAACACUACUUGGUUUCUGUAGUGAUUCAAUUCGAAAUCACAAAAAAAUUCACACUCACCUCCUGUUAAUUCCUACCAUAUUUCAUUUCGUCAAUACUCAACCACGUGUUAGAAUCAUAUGUCUAGAGUAAAUAUCAUUAUCGAAAAUAUUCAGCUACGAAGAAUAUCAACGGAAAACAUUCUUUAUUGAAAUUUUUUCACUCUGAAAAAUACAAUCAAAAGUCCAGUGCAAAAUGCCGUUCAACAUAUCUUUGGCAGUAGAUAUAAUUCUGUUAAAUAUAUAUACAUGGCUUACACUCCGUUUUACUGAAAUUCCAUUGGAGGAGUGUAGCUCCACUUAUAUUGUGGCGUUCUUAAUACUCUCGAUAUAUGUGUUGUAUCGUUUAUAUCUUGUUUUAAAAGACUUCAUUUAUGACUUUAUUUUAAGAUGAUUUUAUUUUUGAAGUAAUGGCAAUUGACUAUUGUUUCUGUUAAGAGAGCCUAACAUUUUCGUUGGUAUUUUAGAAUGUUUUAAUGUUGUUCGUGAAAAGUUUAAGUUGUAUCUAUGAUGUAAUAAUAAUAUGAUAAUAAUAAUAAAUGAGUUUCAAAGACGUCACUUAUAAUGGUAAAAAUGUUAUGAUAUGUAUUUAAUAAAAUUUUCAUCAAUCGACUAACUUUAGGUUAAAUGUCUUCAGAGACAAUUGAGAUCCAUAUUAACGAUCAAAAUUGUAUUUCCCCAUUAUACAAUAUGAUUUAAUAACAAUUGAAUGUUUCGAUUCUCUCCAACUGUUGUUUGUUAAAGCAUUUCAUAUUGUAAUAAUGAAUCAUUUCAUACAUGUAAUUUUUGUAUUUCAAAUGAAUUGUAUGUUAUAUCCACAAUUUUGUUCGAACUUUGAUGCCAUUCAUUAAAAUUUGGAUACAAAA